AACGCACCUUGCGCCCUUUGGCUAUUCCGAAGGGCAUGCCUGUUUGAGCAUCAUAAACAUCUCAACUCUCAUGGUUUCCCGUGAUGAGAUUGGACUUUGGGGGUCUUGUUGGCUUGUGUUCAGCUCCCCUCAAAUCUAUCAGCUUCCCAGUGUUUGGCGGCAUCACAGGUGUGAUAAAUAUCUACGCUUGUGGUUCUUUGCCAGGUCUGUCCUCUCCUUGUGGAGGGCUCACUGGAGCUUAUAGAUGUCUCUCCUUGGUGGAGACAGCUGUUUGAAGUUUGGUCUCAAAUCAGGUAGGAUUACCCGCUGAACUUAA
rnacentral:misc_RNA from 1 species